rnacentral:rRNA from 1 species
CAUGGCUCAGAUUGAACGCUGGCGGCAGGCCUAACACAUGCAAGUCGAGCGGUAGCACAGAGAGCUUGCUCUCGGGUGACGAGCGGCGGACGGGUGAGUAAUGUCUGGGAAACUGCCUGAUGGAGGGGGAUAACUACUGGAAACGGUAGCUAAUACCGCAUAACGUCGCAAGACCAAAGUGGGGGACCUUCGGGCCUCAUGCCAUCAGAUGUGCCCAGAUGGGAUUAGCUAGUAGGUGGGGUAAUGGCUCACCUAGGCGACGAUCCCUAGCUGGUCUGAGAGGAUGACCAGCCACACUGGAACUGAGACACGGUCCAGACUCCUACGGGAGGCAGCAGUGGGG